rnacentral:rRNA from 1 species
UAGGGAAUCUUCGGCAAUGGACGGAAGUCUGACCGAGCAACGCCGCGAGAGUGAAGAAGGUUUUCGGAUCGUAAAGCUCUGUUGUUAGAGAAGAACGUUGGUAGGAGUGGAAAAUCUACCAAGUGACGGUAACUAACCAGAAAGGGACGGCUAACUACGUGCCAGCAGCCGCGGUAAUACGUAGGUCCCGAGCGUUGUCCGGAUUUAUUGGGCGUAAAGCGAGCGCAGGCGGUUCUUUAAGUCUGAAGUUAAAGGCAGUGGCUUAACCAUUGUACGCUUGGGAAACUGGAGGACUUGAGUGCAGAAGGGGAGAGUGGAAUUCCAUGUGUAUCGGUGAAAUGCGUAGAAAUAUGGAGGAACACCGGUGUCGAAAGCGGCUCUCUGGUCUGUAACUGACGCUGAGGCUCGAAAGCGUGGGGAGCAAACAGG